rnacentral:rRNA from 1 species
CAGUAGCCGGGUAAUACAGAGGGUGCGAGCGUUAAUCGGAUUUACUGGGCGUAAAGCGUGCGUAGGCGGCUUCUUAAGUCGGAUGUGAAAUCCCUGAGCUUAACUUAGGAAUUGCAUUCGAUACUGGGAAGCUAGAGUAUGGGAGAGGAUGGUAGAAUUCCAGGUGUAGCGGUGAAAUGCGUAGAGAUCUGGAGGAAUACCGAUGGCGAAGGCAGCCAUCUGGCCUAAUACUGACGCUGAGGUACGAAAGCAUGGGGAGCAAACAGGAUUAGAUACCCCCGUAGUCCCUGUCUCUUAUACC